GGUGAGGUGCGUGAGUGGUUGAAACGGGCGGUCUCGAAAACCGCUUCUCGCGUGAGCGGGACGAGGGUUCGAAUCCCUCCCUCACCU
rnacentral:tRNA from 1 species